AAAAACAAUUUCCUGGUGGAUUGUUUCAAGAUUUGGACAGUUACUGGUGUUAAGUAAAGAAGUUUGGAUUGAGAGCAGCCCUUUCUCUUUGCCACCCACAGCUUCACAGGGGAGGGGAGCUUCUAUGGCUUGGCUCCAGGCCUGGGUCCUCCUCUGAUCUGCUGUGUGACCGCAUUUGAGUCACUUCCCCUCUUUCUCAGUCUCCUGCCAUGCAAAGAAGGCUCAUAGAGUUGCUUUGGAAUUGGAUUAUUUGUACAGCCUGGAAGAAGACGCUGUGUAAAUGACAUGCUUUGGGGCUCCCCCGGCCACAGAAGGAGAAAACUGGAGCCUUCCGAUUUCCUGUUGUUUACUUUCCAGAGGCUGGAGUGGGGUAGGAAACCUGAGCAUGCCAGCACACUGGCUCGUGGGUGACUUCUCUCCCUGCUGUGUUUCCCGGACAGGUGAGGCGGACCCUGUUCAUCACAGGACUCCCCAGAGAUGCCAGGAAGGAGACUGUGGAGAGCCACUUCCGGGACGCGUAUCCCACGUGUGAGGUGGUUGAUGUCCAGCUGUGCUACAACGUGGCCAAACUGAUCUACCUGUGCAAGGAGAGAAAGAAGACUGAGAAGAGCCUGACCUAUUACACAAACCU
rnacentral:sRNA from 1 species